UGAGUUUGAUCCUGGCUCAGGAUGAACGCUAGCGGGAGGCUUAACACAUGCAAGUCGAGCGGGAUUAGAUAGCUUGCUAUCUAUGAGAGCGGCGCACGGGUGAGUAACGCGUAUGCAACCUACCUUUUACAGGGGAAUAGCCCAGAGAAAUUUGGAUUAAUGCCCCAUAGCAUCAUUUUUUCGCAUGAAUUAAUGAUUAAAGUUCCGACGGUAAAAGAUGGGCAUGCGUGACAUUAGCUAGUUGGGGGGGUAACGGCCCACCAAGGCAACGAUGUCUAGGGGUUCUGAGAGGAUGAUCCCCCACACUGGUACUGAGACACGGACCAGACUCCA
rnacentral:rRNA from 1 species